ACGUAGGGUGCGAGCGUUAAUCGGAAUUACUGGGCGUAAAGCGUGCGCAGGCGGUUUCGUAAGACAGAUGUGAAAUCCCCGGGCUUAACCUGGGAACUGCGUUUGUGACUGCGAGACUCGAGUGCGGCAGAGGGGGGUGGAAUUCCACGUGUAGCAGUGAAAUGCGUAGAGAUGUGGAGGAACACCGAUGGCGAAGGCAGCCCCCUGGGUCGACACUGACGCUCAUGCACGAAAGCGUGGGUAGCAAACAGGAUUAGAUACCCUGGUAGUCCACGCCCUAAACGAUGCGAACUAGGUGUUGGAGAAGGAGACUUCUUUAGUACCGCAGCUAACGCGUGAAGUUCGCCGCCUGGGGAGUACGGUCGCAAGAUUA
rnacentral:rRNA from 1 species